AUUGAACGCUGGCGGCAUGCCUUACACAUGCAAGUCGAACGGUAACAGGUUAAGCUGACGAGUGGCGAACGGGUGAGUAAUGUAUCGGAACGUGCCCAGUCGUGGGGGAUAACUGCUCGAAAGAGCAGCUAAUACCGCAUACGACCUGAGGGUGAAAGCGGGGGAUCGCAAGACCUCGCGCGAUUGGAGCGGCCGAUAUCAGAUUAGGUAGUUGGUGAGGUAAAGGCUCACCAAGCCGACGAUCUGUAGCUGGUCUGAGAGGACGACCAGCCACACUGGGACUGAGACACGGCCCAGACUCCUACGGGAGGCAGCAGUGGGGAAUUUUGGACAAUGGGCGCAAGCCUGAUCCAGCCAUGCCGCGUGCGGGAAGAAGGCCUUCGGGUUGUAAACCGCUUUUGUCUGGGAAGAAAAGGUUCUGGCUAAUACCUGGGACUCAUGACGGUACCUGAAGAAUAAGCACCGGCUAACUACGUG
rnacentral:rRNA from 1 species